rnacentral:lncRNA from 1 species
CUGUGCCUCACUCGGACUCCUCUCCGGCUUCCUCUUGAAGGAGGAGCAGCCCCUUCAAAACCGAGCUGUGUGGCCGGGCUGUGCCCCCACGGCGCUCCUGCACGGCCCCCGCUGCGGCCCCGCGCUGCCGGCCCUGCCUGCCCCGGGUCAGGAUGGCCCAGCUAUGAACAGUCUCACAGCCCUGUAAAAAUACCUGAGCAAUACCUGACGAUGUGCACCGUGGAGGGGACUUUUCCUGAAUUUGGUAUGUUUCUGUAUGUGAUAUUAGAUGGAAUCCUAUGAUCAUCUGUGUAAAAUAGAGUCACAGAAGUUAGAGGUAGAAAUGGUUGAUGAAUUGCCCACUGUAU